CUUCUUUUUACAAUCACGGAUCUGUGCCCAGACGUCCUCUGCUUGCUUCGGCGAGUUCAGAGUCGAUGUUUGCGGCAGUUCGAUAACUCCUAUGGAGACAUCGCACUCGUCUUUUGGCGUAUGGUGUCAAUUUCCUAUCGACAGGUCCAAGAACAAUUGCAGUCUACCGGGUAGAAGCCGAGUUCGCCGUCAAAAGCUGAGCAGAGUGGACCGGGACGCUGUGAGGCCGUUAUAUUCCAAGCCGUUUUCCGAAGAUCGUCGAUCUAUGAGGUUAGGGGAAAACCAUGACAUGGUCACAUUC
rnacentral:sRNA from 1 species